AUGAAGCGUGCAUUCGUGUGUGUGCUGAUGGCUGCCUGGAGCCUUGGAUGUGGCAGCCAGACGGUGCACCAGCCAGCAGAGAAUGUGUACGCCAUGAAAGGCGACUCAGUGACGCUGGACUGCAGCUAUGAAAACUCUGGAGGCAACGACUACAUCUUCUGGCCCCGCCUCCUCAGCCACCAAGUCAACGUGCACAGAGCCCAGGAGUGCAAACAUGAAGCGUGCAUUGGAUGUGGCAGCCAGACGGUGCACCAGCCAGCAGAGAAUGUGUACGCCAUGAAAGGCGACUCAGUUACGCUGGACUGCAGCUAUGAAAAUUCUGGAGGCAACGACUACAUCUUCUGGUACAAACAGGACGGGCAGGCAGCACCAAAGUUCAUCCUGAGCCUCUCAAUAUUUGGUCAGGGCAAGACUGAGAGCAGCUUUGAAAAGAGGUUGAGCUGCAGCAUCAAUGACACCACCAAGCGAGCUCCUCUGAAGAUUCAAGACGUGCAGCUGAGCGACUCUGCUGUCUUCUACUGCGCCAUCCAGCCCACAAUGACUGACAGCUCUGCUGCACCCGCACAAAAACCUCUGUAG